rnacentral:rRNA from 1 species
GCGUGGCGCGUGCUAUACUGCAAGUCGAGCGGAUUGAAGGGAGCUUGCUCCCUGAUAUUACGGCGGACGGGUGAGUAACACGUGGGCAACCUGCCCUGCAGAUGGGGAUAACUCCGGGAAACCGGGGCUAAUACCGAAUAAUCGGUUCUUCCGCAUGGAAUAACUCUGAAAGACGGUUUCGGCUGUCACUGCAGGAUGGGCCCGCGGCGCAUUACCUAGUUGGUGGGGUAACGGCCUACCAAGGCGACGAUGCGUAGCCGACCUGAGAGGGUGAUCGGCCACACUGGGACUGAGACACGGCCCAAACUCCUACGGGAGGAAUCAGUAGGGAAUCUUCCACAAUGGACGAAAGUCUGAUGAAGCAACGCCGCGUGAGCGAAGAAGGUUUUCGGAUCGUAAAGCUCUGUUGCGAGGGAACAACAAGUACGGGAGUAACUGCCCGUACCUUGACGGUACCUCGUCAGAAAGCCACGGCUAACUACGUGCCAGCAGCCGCGGUAAUACGUAGGUGGCAAGCGUUGUCCGGAAUUAUUGGGCGUAAAGCGCGCGCACGCGGUCCUUUAACUCUGAUGUGAAAGCCCACGGCUCAACCGUGGAGGGUCAUUGGAAACUGGAGGACUUGAGUACAGAAGAGGAAAGCGGAAUUCCACGUGUAGCGGUGAAAUGCGUAGAGAUGUGGAGGAACACCAGUGGCGAGGGCGGCUUUCUGGUCUGUAACUGACUCUGAGGCGCAAAAGCGUGGGGAGCAAACAGGAUUAGAUCCCCUGGUAUUCCACGCCGUAAACGAUGAGUGCUAAGUGUUAGGGG